ensembl:lncRNA
AUGGCCGCCAGCCCAGCGCCACAGCACCAAGUGGUCGCUAGCCCAGUACCACAACACAAGAUGGCCGCCAGCUCCGCGCCACAGCACAAGAUAGCCGCCAACCCUGCGCCGCUGCGGUGCAGGGCCACCAAACUCCCAUCACGAGGCAAGAUGGAAGCCAGCCUCACACCACAGUACCCGAUGGCCACCAGCUCAGCACCGACGCCCAAGACGGCCGCUGUCUCAUUCUUGGAUUAUUUCGCUACGCUAUCAAGAAUACUAGAGGUUCCCAAGACGGUUCACGUCAUGGCUGCUGAGCCAGCGCUUCAGCACAAGAUGGCCGUUAACCCAGCGCCACAGCUCAAGAUGGCCGCUGAGCCAGAGCCACAGCACAAGAUGGCUGUGAUGACGCAAACAGAAACCGCGACCUGCACAUGCACCUGCAUAACGCAGACCACGAGCUCCACGCGACAUUCACUUCACUUACCAGUGAGAACAUUCUCUCUCUUCUUACUCCUUUAUUCGUAGCACUAAAGCGUCUCCUAACAAAGAGAUUAAGACGGACCACGAAGUAAAAACAAAGAAAAGUACAGUCUUAUAGAGUCUGUUAGCACACGUCUCACUGAGAUCUUGACGGAUCCUCUGCACUUCAUCGCGAAUGUGCUUGAUCCGCGUUAUAAAACCAUUACUUGGAUGCGGAAAUAAGGCAGCGCGCACAAGAAAUGAUCCAGGCCGCGCUGGAUGCGGAGAACCCGCGUGGAGACGGAGAAGCGCCAAGUGCAGGAGACUGAGAUCAGAGCGCAGAAAAGACUCGUCUCUGCACCAGAUGAGUGGCAUGCACCCUCGUUGUCUGAUAUGUUAAGUGAAAUUCUGCAAGAAAGUGCCUCAAAUAAUAAUAAUACGUUGGCUAUUUUGUUCUUAGGCUACUAUAUAUACACACACACACACACACACACACACACACACACACACAACAGCUAGAUGGUUAACUGUCUGAAGUCCCCAUCCCCAGAAGAGACAACCUUCUUGCCUAUACUGGAGAAGUGAUGCACUUUCUAGUCCUACAGAGAACAAUUUCAAAUGCACUUCACCUAAAUGCACUUUGUUUUUAUGAGAGAACUGUUCAUUUUAAAACCUUUCUGCAGGCCAGUAGGCCUGUACAUUAUUAUUAAAUAUACACAUGCGUGGGAUACAUUUUUAGUUUGAAUUUUAUUUUAUACUGUGCAUUGUUGCAAUGUGCUUAAUAAAUAUUUGCAUCAUUUGUAAUUAUGUAUUUUUAUGGUUUUUUUUUUAAUAAGUUAUUAAAUUGUAAUUAUCUUUGAAACUUUAAUAUUAAUUUAUGCAAUUGCAAUGUCUUAAUUUUAGUAAAACUAGUACACGGUCAUAGCAAUAAAUGCAAUGGUACUAAUAAUUGGCAUAAUUUCUUUCGGUGUUUCGGUUUCGGUUUUCGGCCUUGGUUUUCUCUUUUUCGGUUUUCGGUAUCGGCCAAGAAUUUUCAUUUCGGUGCAUCCCUAGUUUGGACAUGUGGAGCGAGCAUUGUCAUGAGUCCUGUCUGGUAUCUGCUUGUUCUUCUGUGUCUGGUUCUGUGUUUCAGGAGAAAGCAGCGGUUCUGUCAAAUAUGUCCUCAGAGUAUCUGGACCUGAAGGAGGUGUUCAGUAACUCUCGCGCUGCUUCUCUUCCUCCGCAUCGUCCCUAUGACUGUGCCAUAGAGAUAUUACCAGGCAAACUUUACUCUUUUUCUAUUCCUGAAAGGGAGACCAUGGAGAAAUAUAUGCCUGAUUCUAUAGUAAAUGGGUUCAUCCGCCCUUCCUCUUCUCUUGUGGGGGCGGGAUUCUUUUUUGUUGGUAAGAAGGAUGGUUCUCGGCGACCUUGUAUUGAUUGUUCAGCAUGUCAGGCGAGUACUCCAGAGGUUGCUAGAGAAUGGGCUUUUUGUCAAGGCGGAGAAAUAUGUUUUUCAUGCACAGUCUGUUUCUUUCCUGGGUUACAUUGUCUCUUCUGAAAGAUAAAGACCCAUCUCUUUAACCUGGCUUACACAUAACAUACUAAUAUGCUUUUAAUAUCCAAAUCAAUUAAAGGAUUUUUAGGCUGCAUUAAUUAGGUAAACCGGAUCUGGGAACACUUCCCGUAACACCCAAUGUACUUGCAACAUCAUUAGAAGAAUGUCAUCUACGCUAAUAUUAGUCUGUUUCUCUCUUAUUCCGAGGUCACUGUAGCCACCAGAUCCAGUCUGUAUCCAGAUCAAAGUGUCAUUGCAUUCAUCCGAAUCCGGUACGUAUCCAGACCAGAUGGUGGAUCAGCACCUAGAAAGGACCUCUACAGCCCUGAAAGACAGCGGAGACCAGGACAACUAGAGCCCCAGAUACAGAUCCCCACAGGAAACAGAUGAUUCUUCUGCACAAUCACAUCUGACUUUGCUGCAGUCUUGACUUCAACUGCUGGUUUCGUCUGGUCAGAGGAGAACUGGUCCCAGAGAACAACUGGGCCUGAUUUCUCCCAAG